ACAGCAGAUCGUAAGUGGUGACUUGGGAUGGACUCUCUUUAGCCAGGAAAGGUCUCAUGUCGAGGCCUUCCAACGGAAAGGAUACGUGGCUGCUAAUCUUGAACGAAUACAUGACCUCGUGCCGGAAGCGUUUCAGGUCGAGUUACUGGAAACACCCAUCCAACAGAAGAGAGGCCGAUUGUCACUAUAUAUUUCAAAGAAGUUUAACAUGGCCCACUGACCGGCGUAUGGAGUCCAUGAUGUAGGUGAUCCAGCCCUGUGAGUCGUACGCUUCGGGACACACGCCUGUUUUGACUGGAAGGUUCUGAUGUAUAGAGGAGUGGAGCUUUGCCAAGUCCUCUUUACCAGGAAUAGGGAGGGACAAGUCUUGGAAGGUUUCCACUGUAGAAGAAACCUGUCACACAUUUAAAGAAUUGGUUAAACGCAGCAUUUCAGCCAAAAGUGUACAGCUUAAAAAAAAAGUUUAUAAAAUAUAACUAAAUGUGUGUCUAAACAUAUCGAUGUGUGGUCAAUGAGAAAUCAUUUCACUUUUUUUUUUUAAGCAUUUGUGAAUAAUACUAAUAAAAAUACAACACGAUUAAUCUCAGCAAAUGGUUAAAAUGUUAAUUGUUCAAUUAAGAUUUUCAUGCAUUUUGUUAAUUCUAAUCAUGAAAAAUACUGAAAUGACACAAUUACACCAGACAUACUUUCAUCUAAAUUUCACUUAA